UUGUGACCGUUUUAAUAGGCCACACAAGAUUUGAAUGAACAACUUCAAUGGCCUUUUAUCACGGUAACAAUG
rnacentral:pre_miRNA from 1 species